rnacentral:rRNA from 1 species
UGUGAAGGAAAGGUGAAAAGGACCCCGGGAGGGGAGUGAAAGAGAACCUGAAACCUUGUGCCUACAAGCACAUAGAGCCCGUCAAAGGGUGAUAUGGUACUUUUUGUAGAACGGUCCGGCGAGCGAUUGUACGUUGCAAGCUUAAGGUCUUAAGGACUGGAGGCGUAGCGAGAGCGAGUCUAAACAGGGCGUUUAGUAGCGUGCAAUGGGCCCGAAACCGGGUGACCUACCCAUGAUCAGGCUGAAGUGAAAGUAAAAUUUCAUGGAGGGCCGAACCGACCUCCGUUGAAAAGGCGGCGGAUGAAUUGUGGGUAGCGGAGAAAUUCCAAUCGAACUCGGAGAUAGCUGGUUCUCCCCGAAAUAGCUUUAGGGCUAGCCUCAUGUUAGAUAUCCGGAGGUAAAGCACUGAAUGGCCUAGCGUCCGAGAGGAUAGCGAAGCCUAUCAAACUAAGAAUGCCGGAAUAUUGAUGCAUGGGAGUCAGACAGUGUGAGAUAAAUCUCAUUGUCAAAAGGGAAACAGCCCAGAUCUACAGCUAAGGUCCCAAAUUGUAUCUAAGUGGAAAACGAUGUGGAAAUACGCAGACAACCAGGAUGUUGGCUCAGAAGCAGCCACUCAUUUAAAGAGUGCGUAAUAGCUCACUGGUCGAGCGUCUCUGCGCGGAAAAUUUAACGGGGCUAAGAUACAAACCGAAGCUUAGGCUGCACUUUUAGUGCGGGGUAGGGGAGCGUUGUGUAAGCGGAGAAACAGUAGCGGAAGCGGCUGUGGAGUUUACAGAAGUGAGAAUGCCGGAAUGAGUAGCGCGAAUGAUGUGAGAAUCAUCAUGGCCGGAAACCUCAGGUUUUUGGAGGAAGGUUCGUCCGCUCCAAGUUAGGCGGGAGCUAAGGUGAGGCCGAAAGGCGUAGCCGAUGCACAGACGGUAGAGAUUCCGUCCCCACCGAAAGAUUUAAGCGCAGGGACACUUUUAGAAGGUCGGAGCCAGGUGUUGGUUCUGGUAGAGAUCGAGGGAAGAUUAGUACCGAAGUCCGGCUGGAUAAGAGGCGAGAAAAGCUGCGUGUAUAUCUAAGGUGCCCGUACCGCAAACCGACACAGGUAGGUAGGAAGAAGAUUCUAAGGCCAACGGGAGAAGGGUUGUUAAGGAACUCGGCAAGUUGACCCCGUAACUUCGGAAUAAGGGGUGCUCAUGAAAGUGAGCCGCAGAGAAUAGGCCCAGGCAACUGUUUACCAAAAACACAGGUUUGUGCUAAAUCGAAAGAUGACGUAUACGAGCUGACGCCUGCCCGGUGCUGGAAGGUUAAAAGGAGAUGUGCAAGCAUUGAAUUGAAGCCCCAGUGAACGGCGGCCGUAACUAUAACGGUCCUAAGGUAGCGAAAUUCCUUGUCAGGUAAGUUCUGACCCGCAUGAAAGGCGUAAUGAUUUGGGCACUGUCUCAACAGCCCGCCCGGCGAAAUUGUAGUACCGGUGAAGAUGCCGGUUACCCGCGACAAGACGGAAAGACCCCAUGGAGCUUUACUGUAACCUGAUAUUGGGUUUCGGUAUUUUAUGUACAGGAUAGGUGGGAGACUAUGAAACUAAGGCGCCAGCCUUAGCGGAGUCGCCCUUGGGAUACCACUCUUAAAGUACUGAAAUUCUAACCUGCGGCCGUGAAUCCGGUCGGGGGACAUUGUCAGGCGGGCAGUUUGACUGGGGCGGUCGCCUCCAAAAGAGUAACGGAGGCGCUCAAAGGUUCGCUCAGCAUGGUCGGAAACCAUGCCUUAGAGUGUAAACGCAAAAGCGAGCCUAACUGCGAGGCUGACGGGCCGAGCAGUAACGAAAGUUGGAGUUAGUGAUCCGGCGGUAUGUGAAUGGAAAUGCCGUCGCUCAACGGAUAAAAGCUACCCUGGGGAUAACAGGCUGAUCUCCCCCAAGAGUCCACAUCGACGGGGAGGUUUGGCACCUCGAUGUCGGCUCAUCGCAUCCUGGGGCUGUAGUAGGUCCCAAG